ACCCUAAGAAGAGAGGAGGAAAUGGGAUCCUUACAGGAGCGUAUUAUGGCUCUAGAAAUGAGUACUCGAGUAGCUUUAGACCACCUGGAGUCUGUUCCUGAGAAACUGAGCCUGUUAGAAGAUUUCAAAGAUUUUGGAG